CCUACGGGAGGCUGCAGUGGGGAAUAUUGGGCAAUGGGCGCAAGCCUGACCCAGCAACGCCGCGUGAAGGAUGAAGGUUUUCGGAUUGUAAACUUCUGUCGCGAGGGACGAAGAAUGCCGUUACCUCGUAAUAAAGCCCCGGCUAACUACGUGCCAGCAGCCGCGGUUAUCCGUAGGGGGCAAGCGUUGUCCGGAAAGACGGGGGGUAAAGGGAGGGAGGGCGGGUAAGAAAGUUAGGUGUGAAUUCCCGGGGCGUAACCGCGGAACUGCAUCUAAAACUGGUAGGCUGGAGUGCGGGAGAGGUAGGUGGAAUUCCUAGUGUAGCGGUGGAAUGCGUAGAUAUUAGGAGGAACACCAGAGGCGAAGGCGACUCACUGGACUGUAACUGACGCUGAUGCGCGAAAGCGUGGGGAGCAAACAGGAUUAGAUACCCGAGUAGUC
rnacentral:rRNA from 1 species